UCCCUGGUGGCUCAGUGGUAAAGAAUCUGCCUGAAAUGCAGGAGACACAGGUUCAAUCCUGGGUUUGGGAA
rnacentral:tRNA from 1 species